UGCGAUAAGGGGACUCCGAGUGCGAGGGCAUACAGUCCUCGCUUUUCUGUACCGUAAGGUGGUACAGGAACAAGUGCUGGGCAAGACCGGUGCCAGCCGCCGCGGUAAUACCGGCAGCACGAGUGAUGGCCGAUAUUAUUGGGCCUAAAGCGUCCGUAGCCGGCCRGRCAAGUCCGUYGGGAAAUCCRCSCGCUUAACGGGUGGGCGUCCGGCGGAAACUGYCUGGCUUGGGACCGGAAGACCCGAGGGGUACGUCCGGGGUAGGAGUGAAAUCCCGUAAUCCUGGACGGACCACCGGUGGCGAAAGCRCCUCGRGAAGACGGAUCCGACGGUGAGGGACGAAAGCUAGGGUCUCGAACCGGAUUAGAUACCCGGGUAGUCCUAGCYGUAAACGAUGYUCGCUAGGUGUGGCRCAGGCUACGAGCCUGYGCUGUGCCGUAGGGAAGCCGCUAAACGAACCGCCUGGGAAGUACGUC
rnacentral:rRNA from 1 species